rnacentral:lncRNA from 1 species
AUGUAUUUGUUUCAUGAUUUGACCUUGGUACGGAAUUUUCAUUUUCUGAGGACAAGGAUGCACAUGUGGUUAACAUAUUCCAAUAUAUAAAUGAUUAUAGCUCAUCAUACUUCAUACACACUAACACUAAUCUAAUAUGAUAAACAUCAAACAAUAGCAUAACUAUAGAAGUAAUCCUCACCAAAAUGAGCCGGAUGAUGCCAAAACCUUCGCAAAUCAAUCAAUCACAACAUAAAAAAAACAGAGAAAAAGCAGAUUCAAUCAGUAAACAAAGCGAAAAAGCAUCCUGCACCUAUCAGAAUCGCAAUUUGAACUUUUAAAACCCUAGAACUGAAGCAUAAAUUAAUAAACAACAUACUCGUCAUCCGAUCUACGAAUCCAGUGACUACGAACACGAUAAUUCAUCAUACAUCUUCAUCAUGCAACUGUGCCAACAGUAGCCGUUGAUGGAAGUCCUAACAGAAUCUUCUAGAUCGAUCGAUCGAUUGAAAUCUGUAACAGAACGAAGAACAAAGAAGAAGAAGUGUG